UACGUAGGGUGCAAGCGUUGUCCGGAAUUAUUGGGCGUAAAGAGCUCGUAGGCGGUCUGUCGCGUCGAAUGUGAAAAUCCGGGGCUCAACUCCGGACCUGCAUUCGAUACGGGCAGACUAGAGUUCGGUAGGGGAGACUGGAAUUCCUGGUGUAGCGGUGAAAUGCGCAGAUAUCAGGAGGAACACCGGUGGCGAAGGCGGGUCUGCCUGGGCCGAUGACUGACGCUGAGGA
rnacentral:rRNA from 1 species